rnacentral:rRNA from 1 species
AUUGAACGCUGGCGGCAGGCCUAACACAUGCAAUUCGAACGAGUGGCGGACGGGUGAGUAAUGUCUGGGCACCUGCCUGAUGGAGGGGGAUAACUACUGGAAACGGUAGCUAAUACCGCAUACCAUCAGAUGUGCCCAGGUGGGUUUAGCUUGUUGUUGGGGUAAUGGCUCACCAAGGCGACGAUCCCUAGCUGGUCUGAGAGGAUGACCAGCCACACUGGAACUGUGACACGGACCAGACUCCUAAGGGAGGCAGCAGGGGGGAAUAUUGGACAAGGGGCGCAAGCCUGAUGCAGCCAUGCCGCGUGUAUGAAGAGGGACUUCGGGUUGUAAAGAACUUUCAGCGGGGAGGCGUUACACGCAGAAGAAGCACCGGCUAACUCCGUGCCAGCAGCCGCGGUAAUAC